rnacentral:tmRNA from 1 species
GGGGGCGAACAGGCUUCGACGGGUUUAGUGAACGCGGAGCAGCGUGCCGAGGGCGCCUGGCCCCUCGUAAAUCAACUGGGCACAAACACAACUGCCAACCACAACUUGGCACUGG